CAAUAGCGUAUAUUAAAGUUGUUGCAGUUAAAAAGCUCGUAGUUGAAUUUCUGGCGGGCGCGCCGGUCUUCCAAGUGUUGUACUGGGCGCAGUCCGCCAUCCUUGUGGAGAGGGCUCGCAUUGAGUUGCGUGUCGGAUCUGCAUCAUUUACUGUGAAAAAAUUAGAGUGUUUAAAGCAGGCUGUCGCUUGGAUACAUUAGCAUGGAAUAAUAAGAUAGGACUUCGGUCUAUUUUGUUGGUUGCGAACCGAGGUAAUGAUUAAUAGGGAUAGUUGGGGGUAUUCAUAUUUAAUUGUCAGAGGUGAAAUUCUUGGAUUUAUGAAAGAUGAACAACUGCGAAAGCAUUUACCAAGGAUGUUUUCAUUA
rnacentral:rRNA from 1 species